UGCGUAGGCGGUUUUGUAAGUCUUAUGUGAAAUCUAUGGGCUCAACUCAUAGACUGCAUGAGAAACUGCAGGGCUUGAGUGUGGGAGAGGUGAGUGGAAUUUCCGGUGUAGCGGUGAAAUGCGUAGAUAUCGGAAGGAACACCUGUGGCGAAAGCGGCUCACUGGACCACAACUGACGCUGAUGCACGAAAGCUAGGGGAGCAAACAGGAUUAGAUACCCUGGUAGUCCUAGCCCUAAACGAUGACUGCUUGGUGUGACGGGUACCCAAUCCCGCCGUGCCGUAGCUAACGCGUUAAGCAGUCCGCCUGGGGAGUACGGUCGCAAGGCUGAA
rnacentral:rRNA from 1 species